GUGGGGAAUCUUCCGCAAUGGACGAAAGUCUGACGGAGCAACGCCGCGUGAGUGAAGAAGGUUUUCGGAUCGUAAAGCUCUUUCGUUAGGGACGAACGUGCUCUUUGUGAAUAAUGAGGAGUAAUGACGGUAUCUAAAUAAGAAGCCACGGCUAACUACGUGCCAGCAGCCGCGGUAAUACGUAGGUGGCAAGCGUUGUCCGGAAUUAUUGGGCGUAAAGCGCGCGCAGGCGGGAUAUCAAGUCUGUCUUAAAAGUGCGAGGCUCAACCUCGUGAGGGGACAGAAACUGGUAUUCUUGAGUGUCGGAGAGGAAAGUGGAAUUCCAAGUGUAGCGGUGAAAUGCGUAGAGAUUUGGAAGAACACCAGUGGCGAAGGCGACUUUCUGGACUGUAACUGACGCUGAGGCUCGAAAGCCAGGGGAGCGAACGGGAUUAGAAACCCUAGUAGUCC
rnacentral:rRNA from 1 species